GGUUAAGAGGACCUGUUAGAUCCCUUUUGUGGGUCGAAGCGGAGAAUUUAAGCCCCAGUAAACGGCGGUGGUAACUAUAACCAUCCUAAGGUAGCGAAAUUCCUUGUCGGGUAAGUUCCGACCUGCACGAAUGGCGUAACGACUUCUCUACUGUCUCAACCACAGACUCGGCGAAAUUGCAUUACGAGUAAAGAUGCUCGUUACGCGCGGCAGGACGGAAAGACCCCGGGACCUUUAC
rnacentral:rRNA from 1 species